rnacentral:rRNA from 1 species
UACGUAGGGGGCUAGCGUUGUCCGGAAUUAUUGGGCGUAAAGAGCUCGUAAGGCGGUCUGUCGCUGUCGAAUGUGAAAACCCGGGGCUCAAACCCCGGGCCUGCAUUCGAUACUGCCGGACUAGAGUCCGGAAGAGGCAAGUGGAAUUCCCGGUGUAGCGGUGAAAUGCGCAGAUAUCGGGGAGGAACACCAAUGGCGAAGGCAGCUUGCU